ACAAGGGAGCUUGACUGCGAGACCUACAAGUCGAGCAGGGACGAAAGUCGGGCUUAGUGAUCCGGUGGUUCCGCAUGGAAGGGCCAUCGCUCAACGGAUAAAAGCUACCCCGGGGAUAACAGGCUUAUCUCCCCCAAGAGUCCACAUCGACGGGGAGGUUUGGCACCUCGAUGUCGGCUCAUCGCCUCCUGGGGCUGUAGUCGGUCCCAAGGGUUGGGCUGUUCGCCCAUUAAAGCGGUACGCGAGCUGGGUUCAGAACGUCGUGAGACAGUUCGGUCCCUAUCCGUCGCGGGCGCAGGAAAUUUGAGAGGA
rnacentral:rRNA from 1 species